AGGUAAAGAUUUAUAUUUUUAAUAUUUAGUCUAUAUAAGUCUAUAUGACACCUGUUAUUGUAUAUCUUUCUGUUCACUGACUCGCUGUAUCUACAGAUAUAUUUACGAUCUCUCCACCUAAACAACAAUCAUGAGAUGCUUAAUGAUUACCGUCUGUAUUGCCCUGUGCACAGUUACAUUUGGAGAAUCUAAAAUAAGAAGCAAGAGACAAGCUGCUUUUGGAUACGGUGCUGUAGAUCCCGCUGCUUAUGGUGGGGCGGCGGUUGAUCCAGCUCAAUACAGUGCCUAUGGCGGGGCCGUGGUUGAUCCAGCUCAGUAUGCUACGUAUGGUGCAGCAGCUAAUCCAGCUGCCUAUCAACCUGCUUACCAACAAGUUGCAGCUCCAGCUGCUUAUGGCAAUGCUGCUUAUCCACAACCAGCUUACCAACAGGCAGCAGUUAACCCUGCAUAUGCUCAACCUGCGAGUCCAUACGGUUACGCUGUCACUCCUUAGAUUACCAAUUCUAUCUUAAUCAGGGCCCUUGUUGGACUGUCUGUGGCAUCCGAAAAUCCCCCUUAAUAUGCGUUGGGUUCUAGGUGUUAUUUGAAAAGCUUUAUGAAGCAGAAUAAAGCACGUAUGUGUAUUUAAAUGAUGGUAUAUUGUAAAUAUAUUAAAUAUAAGUGUGUUAAUAAUGCUUAUAUUAUAUGGAAUAAAAUAUAUACAAAUUGUAUAA